UACAGAGGUCUCAAGCGUUGUUCGGAUUCAUUGGGCGUAAAGGGUGCGCAGGCGGCGUGGUAAGUUGAGUGUGAAAUCUCGGGGCUUAACCCCGAAACUGCACUCAAUACUGCCAUGCUAGAGGAAUGUAGAGGAGAGUGGAAUUCACGGUGUAGCAGUGAAAUGCGUAGAUAUCGUGAGGAAGACCAGUUGCGAAGGCGACUCUCUGGGCAUUUCCUGACGCUCAUGCACGAAGGCUAGGGGAGCAAACGGG
rnacentral:rRNA from 1 species